GCGGUAGAAAGAAAGAAAGAGUGGCGUGAAAUUAGAAAAUAGAAAAUAGAGAAGAAAAGGUAGCAUAGGCCAGGGCGGCGCGUGGACGUGAAUUGUGAGGCGAGGUGGGGGUAGUAAAAAGUAAAAAGUAAGGGAAGGGUGUGUUCUGGAAUCUCCAGAUCAGAUCAGAUCGCAUAGUCAAGUCACGAGACUCACUCAUCUCAUCUCUGUCGAAGUGAGAAGAAAACCCUAAAGAUGGUGAAGAAGCGAGUGCCGGAGUGGCUGAACAGCUCACUAUGGUCUUCUUCCACCUCCAACGAAGACGAUCAUCGCCUCUCUGUCGCCGUACAACCUCCUCCUUCUUCAACCACAACCACAACCACAACAUCACAACAAUCCAACAACAACAAUCACAAUCACAUUCACACAUCCAAAGAAGCUGAAGUUGUUGUUGAAGCAGAAGCAGAAGCAGAAGCAGAAGCAGAAGCAGAGAUAGAAACCCAUGCUCCAGUCGGUCCCUCCGCCGAGGACAUUUCUCGCCAGGCCCAGCUCCUUUCGGAGAUAUCAAAGAAAGUUGUAAACAUGCGGGAAUUGCGCCGGAUUGCAUCUCAGGGAAUACCCGACACUGCUGGAAUUCGUUCUACCGUCUGGAAGCUUUUACUUGGCUAUCUACCACUGGAUCGUUCGCUUUGGCCAUCUGAAAUGGCUAAGAAGAGGUCACAGUACAAGCAAUUUAAAGAUGAGCUUUUGAUGAAUCCUUCAGAAGUCACAAGGAGGAUGGAUAAAUUCAAAAGUUGUGAGAAAGAAGACUCAAAAUGUGAAAGCAGGUGCUUGCUCUCAAGAUCAGAAAUAACCCAUGGGGAGCAUCCUUUGAGUCUUGGGAAGACCAGCAUAUGGAAUCAGUUCUUCCAGGACACAGAGAUCAUAGAACAGAUUGACCGAGAUGUGAAGCGCACCCAUCCAGACAUGCACUUUUUCUCUGGCGACUUGCCUUUUGCAAAAUCUAAUCAGGAGGCUUUAAAGAACAUAUUAAUUGUUUUUGCAAAGUUGAAUCCGGGUAUAAGAUAUGUUCAGGGGAUGAAUGAAAUUCUGGCUCCUUUAUUCUAUGUAUUCAGAAAUGACCCUGAUGAGGAAUAUGCUGCCUCUGCUGAAGCAGACACGUUCUUUUGUUUUGUUGAGUUAUUGAGUGGAUUCCGUGAUCACUUCUGUCAGCAACUUGACAAUAGUGUAGUGGGAAUCCGUUCCACAAUAACAAAGUUGUCACAGCUUCUUAAGGAACAUGAUGAGGAACUGUGGCGUCAUCUUGAGGUCACAACCAAAUGGAAAGAGAUGUUCUUUGGAGAAGGGUGAUGGAAAAAAAGUACAGUGGUUCAUGGGAGCUUGAACUGGUCAAAUUUUCAUUGGAACCUAAGCUUUAUUAGAGUGGUACAAGAUUGGGAGAUUCAAUCCUCAGUUUGCUUUCGUGAUGUACUUUAUACUACUAAAGUUGGGUGGGAGGCUAGAAACCACCGACGCAGCUACAAGGUUGCUACACUGGAGUCCGACACGGCAUCCGGUGUCCGACUUGCCGACUCUCCCUUUUUUUUUUUUUUGAUUUGCGCCAACUCGGCCAGAUUCGCGCCGAUUCGGGCCAAAAUGGGCCGAUUCGAGCUGAUUCCGGCAGAAACGGGAACCGAUACGGCCAAUUCCGGCCGAAACGGCAAUCGAAACAGGCUGAUGCGGCCGAUUCCGGUCGAAACAGCCACCAAAACAGGCCGAUAUGGCUGAUUCCGGCUGAAAUAGUCGCCGAAACAGGCCGAAAUAGGCAGCGGCUGCCAUUCUUCUGCUUCAUGUGGCCUUGUGAAAGGAAAAAAAAAAAAAAAAGAUAAGGAAGAAGAAGAUGAGAAGACAAAAAAAAAAAAGGAUGGAAGAAGAAUAAAGGUCAACCCCCAAUUUUAUGCAUUUCGGUGGAUUACUCUUCUCUUGACUCAGGAAUUCAAUUUUGCGGACAGUCUUCACAUUUGGGACACACUCCUAAGCGACCUUGAUGGUCCUCUGGAAACCCUUCUUCGGGUAUGCUGUGCUAUGCUAA